rnacentral:lncRNA from 12 species
AUGAGGGAUCAGGAGGGGCAGCAGAGGGAGCAGGAAGCGAGGGCUGGAGUUGGUUGUGCUGUGCGGGUAAAAAUAAAGUGGAAGGAAAAUAAGGUUGGCUGCGAAAGGAGGGCACCGCGGCGGGACAGAGGAGCGGCGGCUGUAACUCGGAAGGGAGCAGGAUCGGCGCAGAGCCGGGCACCGGAGAGAGUGGGAUUCCGCCGGGAGCGGCAGCGGGCGGCGGCGGCGGGACCGCUUCAGGAUGGUGCCGCGGCGGAAACGGCAAGCCAGCAGUUAGAAAAGAAAAAAAAAAAAACAAAAAACCCAGGAAGGGCUGUUGGAUGUGGAAGAGUUGGAGUGUGAACAUAAACUGACUGGCACAGAAAUCAGCUGCUUACGCCUGAAAAGGCAAAUGAUCUACUUUUCUGAAGCAGACAGCAUUCUCUUUCUUUGUUCACCAAGGUACAUUAAACCUAGAGAGUUCUGUAAUAUUGAUUUUCAUUUUGCAGUUACUAAUUUUAAUACUUACGGGAGUAGUACUACAGCAACUAACUGGUUCAAGUAUUGGUUUAAUUGGUUUUGAUGAGUUUAUACUAAAAGAGGUAGGAACUUGACUGAUCAUUGAAUACUCAAUAUAAAUACUGGCUUGCUCUGGCCCAGUUUGUACAAAAGGUUAUUCCUCAUAUUCCUUUUUAUUUGUAAGUUCUGUCCUUUGUUUUUUUCUCAGAGAAUGCUAAGAUAUAUGUCCCAGCAGCAAAGCAGUGAAGCUGGGAGCAGCGCAAGCCGGGCAAGCAGCAAAGCACCCAAAAGCCGGGAUGCAAGCCCCCAACUCCCCCACAGAGCUCGGGGGAGGGGCCGGGGCCGCCACGGCAG